UGUGGUGUCAGUGUGUAUGAUCUCUUUGCAUAUGUGUAUAUAAAACCAGCUGCCUUCAGCUCUUCUGUGUCAAGAAUUGAAGACAACUGACAAUCAGAAGGACAAAAGGAAGGUUAACCUUACAUUUGACAUCUCAACCAUGAAGAUGCUGACUGUGUCGGUGCUUGUGUGCUCUGUGAUGGUUCUCAUCCACGCUGUUUCUCUUCCAGGUGAUAAACAAUUGGAAGAGGAAACUACUCAACCAGAGGAAGCUACCACUCCAGGGGAAUCUACAAAUGAUGAUUUUAUAUUUGACGAAUUUCUUCACUUUGAGAAAACUACUCUACCAGAGGAAACUACCACUCCAGGGGAAUCUACAAAUGAUGAUUUUAUAUUUGACGAAUUUCUUCACUUUGAGAAAACUACUCUACCAGAGGAAACUACCACUCCAGGGAAAUUUACAGAUGGAGAUUUUAUGUUAGACGAAUUUGAUCAGUCAGAGGAAAAUGAUCAGUCAGAUGAAAAUGAGCAGUCAGAUGAAAAUGAGCAGUCAGACGAAAAUGAGCAGUCAGACGAAAAUGAUGAGCCAGAGGAAACUGAUGAGCCACAGGAGGAUAAUGUUUGAUGGAAUGAGAGGAUUCUGGGAUGACUAAUGCAGUCCUGUACCUCAUCAAUAAAAACACUCAUCUCUCUGCCAUUGUGUCAUUCUCUGUAAUUCAUUCUCAUGCUGUAACAUAAGGUAUCAGGCAUCACAUUCAAUGAACUGUAGAUGGAUUUUCUCUUUUGAAAGUCUGUAAAAUUAAAAUGAUUUUUCUUUCUGUCUGUCUUUACUUUGUAGAGUGAACUGUAAUUCCUCUUCUUAUGCAAAUGAAAACAC